AGGUUUGUUCUCGUUGGAUCCCGCACAAUUUGACAAUCGCUCAAAAAAAGGCUCGUGUGGAUUGGUGUAAAGAAAUGCUGAAAAAAUACGAUCGCGGUGCUUCAAAAGACGUUUAUAAGAUCGUCACAGGUGACGAAUCAUGGAUCUAUGCGUAUGAGCCCGAAACAAAACAGCAAUCGACC